rnacentral:rRNA from 1 species
UGGCGGACGGGUGAGUAACGCGUGAGAAUCUAGCUUCAGGUCUAGGACAACCACUGGAAACGGUGGCUAAUACUGGAUGUGCCGAAAGGUGAAAGGCUUGCUGCCUGAAGAUGAGCUCGCGUCUGAUUAGCUAGUAGGUGGGGUAAGAGCCUACCUAGGCGACGAUCAGUAGCUGGUCUGAGAGGAUGAUCAGCCACACUGGGACUGAGACACGGCCCAGACUCCUACGGGAGGCAGCAGUGGGGAAUUUUCCGCAAUGGGCGAAAGCCUGACGGAGCAAUACCGCGUGAGGGAGGAAGGCUCUUGGGUUGUAAACCUCUUUUCUCAGGGAAGAACACAAUGACGGUACCUGAGGAAUCAGCAUCGGCUAACUCCGUGCCAGCAGCCGCGGUAAUACGGAGGAUGCAAGCGUUAUCCGGAAUGAUUGGGCGUAAAGCGUCCGCAGGUGGCUGUGUAAGUCUGCUGUUAAAGAGUCUAGCUCAACUAGAUAAAGGCAGUGGAAACUACACGGCUAGAGUGCGUUCGGGGCAGAGGGAAUUCCUGGUGUAGCGGUGAAAUGCGUAGAGAUCAGGAAGAACACCGGUGGCGAAGGCGCUCUGCUAGGCCGCAACUGACACUGAGGGACGAAAGCUAGGGGAGCGAAUGGGAUUAGAUACCCC